GGGUGAUGUAAACCUCAGUGGGAUGGAUCUGCCCAUGGAAAGGAGUAGGGCUGCCUCUUUCCCUGGGACCAAAAGGAAGAUGAUAACAAUUGGUAAAGGAGAUGAAGUUACACUGAGAACUUGCAAAGGAAUCUGAAAAGUCUUUUUAAAUAAUACUUGCUACUCAUAGUUGAUUUAUGAAGCUUGCUGCUGGCGCAUUUUCAGUGUCUAUUAGGCACUCAGAUAUACAUGGAGACCUAGGUUUAAGCAGCUCCAUUCCCCAGCACAAGCUCCAGCUUUGAGCUGAGGAUGAUCUCCUUUCUUAAAGCUCUGCAAGCAGGAGAUAUGGAAAAGGAGAGGCUGGGGUAGCUCAGAACAAAUUCCAGGACAGAAGAAAGGGCAGAAGCAGCGGCAACACGUGCUUUUUUUCAGGAGGCACCUUGGUUUAUCAGACUGUAGCAGCUGGUCCCUGGAGGGCUCUGAGAACCAGGGACUCACUGACCUUGAGGCUCCUCCUGGAAAAAAGAAAAACAUUGGGACCCUCCCAAGAAGAAAUCUCAGCAACGGACUAAAUUUGUUAAAUGGAACUUGAAAACAUUUCUGGUGUGGAUGGUAAAAUGAUUAUUGAAGGCCAUCAGAGAGCUUCCAUGACUCACUGUUUAAUGAUUUCCAGCAGGAUUACAAAGGAUUUAAAGUAAGCUUGAAGCUAUUGAGAGCAAAUAGUGUGCCAAGAAUAUGAGAGUGGUUUGUGUUUUGGACUCUAUGAAAACUGUAUUGUUAAUUUAGAAAAAAAUACAAACUGGAUUCCUAAGGCUCUGGAAGUCUGUUAUUUUCCUAAUGUUAUUUCUCUUGUCUCAGUGAGAUAUUUGACAUUUGAAAAAAGGCUAAGCAGAGAGUGGGAGCUGUCUAAAACUUUGUUGACCAGAUCAUCUCAGAAGAGUUUGGCAGAGCCAAGAAGUAAAAACUUGUAGAGACAUGGCUCCUCCCAUGAAGAGAUGGUGCCUGUUUUCCUGCCCCUUGUAUUGACUAGACUUGUGACUUGUUUGGCCAACAGCAUCCAAGGGAAGUACAUUCCGUCAGUUUUGAGCUUGGGCCUCAAGAGGCCUUGCACACUUCUGCUCUAACUCUUAAAACACUGUGGAGCUCCUUAAGGAAAAGUCUAGGCCAGCCUCCUGGAUGAUGAUGGCCCCAGAGCUUCUGCUGACAGCCAGUCAACCCCAGACAUAAAGGCAUCUAGCUAAGACACAGCAUGAAUGAGCUCAGCCAAGAACAGAAAGACAACUCAGCUGAACCAAGCCCAAACUGCUGACCAGUCC
rnacentral:lncRNA from 1 species